rnacentral:misc_RNA from 1 species
GAUGAAGAACGUAGCGAAAUGCGAUAAGUAAUGUGAAUUGCAGAAUUCAGUGAAUCAUCGAAUCUUUGAGCGCACCUUGCGCCCUUUGGCCAUUCCGAAGGGCAUGCCUGUUUGAGUAUCAUGAACACCUCAACUCUUCAUGGUUUUCCAUGAUGAGCUUGGACUUUGGGGGUCUUGCUGGCCUACGGUCGGCUCCUCUAAAAUAAAUCAGCUUGCCAGUGUUUGGUGGGUAUCGCAGGUGUGAUAACUAUCUACGCUUGUUGUUUUCCACCAAGUAACCUUCAGCAGUGGAGGUUCACUGGAGCUCACAGAUGUGUCUCUCCUCAGUGAGGGACAGCUCUUUGAAUGUUUGAUCUCAAAUCAGGUAGGACUACCCGCUGAACUUAAGCAUAUCAAUAAGCGGAGGA